UACGUAGGGAGCAAGCGUUGUCCGGAAUCAUUGGGCGUAAAGAGCGUGUAGGCGGCCCGGUAAGUCCGCUGUAAAAGUCAAAGGCUCAACCUUUGAAUGUCAGUGGAUACUGCCGGGCUAGAGUCCGGAAGAGGCGAGUGGAACUCCUGGUGUAGCGGUGGAAUGCGCAGAUAUCAGGAAGAACACCAACGGCGAAGGCAGCUCGCUAGGACGGUACUGACGCUGAGACGCGAAAGCGUGGGGAGCGAACAGG
rnacentral:rRNA from 1 species